rnacentral:rRNA from 1 species
UGUGAACUCGAAGAGUAGGGCGGGACACGUGGUAUCCUGUCUGAAUAUGGGGGGACCAUCCUCCAAGGCUAAAUACUCCUGACUGACCGAUAGUGAACCAGUACCGUGAGGGAAAGGCGAAAAGAACCCCGGCGAGGGGAGUGAAAAAGAACCUGAAACCGUGUACGUACAAGCAGUGGGAGCCUCUUUAUGGGGUGACUGCGUACCUUUUGUAUAAUGGGUCAGCGACUUAUAUUCUGUAGCAAGGUUAACCGAAUAGGGGAGCCGAAGGGAAACCGAGUCUUAACUGGGCGUUAAGUUGCAGGGUAUAGACCCGAAACCCGGUGAUCUAGCCAUGGGCAGGUUGAAGGUUGGGUAACACUAACUGGAGGACCGAACCGACUAAUGUUGAAAAAUUAGCGGAUGACUUGUGGCUGGGGGUGAAAGGCCAAUCAAACCGGGAGAUAGCUGGUUCUCCCCGAAAGCUAUUUAGGUAGCGCCUCGUGAACUCAUCUUCGGGGGUAGAGCACUGUUUCGGCUAGGGGGUCAUCCCGACUUACCAACCCGAUGCAAACUGCGAAUACCGAAGAAUGUUAUCACGGGAGACACACGGCGGGUGCUAACGUCCGUCGUGAAGAGGGAAACAACCCAGACCGCCAGCUAAGGUCCCAAAGUCAUGGUUAAGUGGGAAACGAUGUGGGAAGGCACAGACAGCCAGGAUGUUGGCUUAGAAGCAGCCAUCAUUUAAAGAAAGCGUAAUAGCUCACUGGUCGAGUCGGCCUGCGCGGAAGAUGUAACGGGGCUAAACCAUGCACCGAAGCUGCGGCAGCGACACUAUGUGUUGUUGGGUAGGGGAGCGUUCUGUAAGCCGUUGAAGGUGUGCUGUGAGGCAUGCUGGAGGUAUCAGAAGUGCGAAUGCUGACAUAAGUAACGAUAAUGCGGGUGAAAAACCCGCACGCCGGAAGACCAAGGGUUCCUGUCCAACGUUAAUCGGGGCAGGGUGAGUCGACCCCUAAGGCGAGGCCGAAAGGCGUAGUCGAUGGGAAACAGGUUAAUAUUCCUGUACUUGGUGUUACUGCGAGGGGGGGACGGAGAAGGCUAUGUUAGCCGGGCGACGGUUGUCCCGGUUUAAGCAUGUAGGCGGAGAUUCCAGGUAAAUCCGGAAUCUUGUUAACGCUGAGGUGUGAUGACGAGGCACUACGGUGCUGAAGUAACAAAUGCCCUGCUUCCAGGAAAAGCCUCUAAGCAUCAGGUAACACGAAAUCGUACCCCAAACCGACACAGGUGGUCAGGUAGAGAAUACCAAGGCGCUUGAGAGAACUCGGGUGAAGGAACUAGGCAAAAUGGUGCCGUAACUUCGGGAGAAGGCACGCUGAUAUGUAAGUGAAGUGAUUUACUCAUGGAGCUGAAAUCAGUCGAAGAUACCAGCUGGCUGCAACUGUUUAUUAAAAACACAGCACUGUGCAAACACGAAAGUGGACGUAUACGGUGUGACGCCUGCCCGGUGCCGGAAGGUUAAUUGAUGGGGUUAUCCGUAAGGAGAAGCUCUUGAUCGAAGCCCCGGUAAACGGCGGCCGUAACUAUAACGGUCCUAAGGUAGCGAAAUUCCUUGUCGGGUAAGUUCCGACCUGCACGAAUGGCGUAAUGAUGGCCAGGCUGUCUCCACCCGAGACUCAGUGAAAUUGAACUCGCUGUGAAGAUGCAGUGUACCCGCGGCAAGACGGAAAGACCCCGUGAACCUUUACUAUAGCUUGACACUGAACACUGGUCCUUGAUGUGUAGGAUAGGUGGGAGGCUUUGAAGUGUGGACGCCAGUCUGCAUGGAGCCAACCUUGAAAUACCACCCUUUAAUGGCUGGUGUUCUAACGUAGACCCGUAAUCCGGGUUGCGGACAGUGUCUGGUGGGUAGUUUGACUGGGGCGGUCUCCUCCUAAAGAGUAACGGAGGAGCACGAAGGUUAGCUAAUCCUGGUCGGACAUCAGGAGGUUAGUGCAAAGGCAUAAGCUAGCUUGACUGCGAGAGUGACGGCUCGAGCAGGUGCGAAAGCAGGUCUUAGUGAUCCGGUGGUUCUGAAUGGAAGGGCCAUCGCUCAACGGAUAAAAGGUACUCCGGGGAUAACAGGCUGAUACCGCCCAAGAGUUCAUAUCGACGGCGGUGUUUGGCACCUCGAUGUCGGCUCAUCACAUCCUGGGGCUGAAGUAGGUCCCAAGGGUAUGGCUGUUCGCCAUUUAAAGUGGUACGCGAGCUGGGUUUAGAACGUCGUGAGACAGUUCGGUCCCUAUCUGCCGUGGGCGCUGGAGAAUUGAGGGGGGCUGCUCCUAGUACGAGAGGACCGGAGUGGACGCAUCACUGGUGUUCGGGUUGUCAUGCCAAUGGCAUUGCCCGGUAGCUAAAUGCGGAAGAGAUAAGUGCUGAAAGCAUCUAAGCACGAAACUUGCCCCGAGAUGAGUUCUCCCUGACCCUUUAAGGGUCCUGAAGGAACGUUGAAGACGACGACGUUGAUAGGUCGGGUGUGUAAGCGUAGCGAUACGUUGAGCUAACCGAUACUAAUGAACCGUGAGGCUUAACCUU